AGAACAUUCAUCUGCAGGUUUUUUUCUACUCAGAAAUUGGUGAAUGUUUUGCACGAAUAUCAUAGUUGAAGACUUCAAGCAAAGAAGGAAAUAUAGAGAUAUCAGCAAAUCCUGGGAAGAACCACCUGUGCAGCCAAUGAUGAAUAUAUACCCAAGAACUCUGAUGGGGGACCGGAUGACAGAUUGAGCAAUUUAGGUGUUCUAAGUAUUGAGUCAAGGGGGGCAAAGACAAAUCUAGAUGAAUCUUUUUGCAAAAAAAACCCCACAAAAAUCGUAGAAUACAGUUACUGUGACCAAUACUGAAUAUGUAAUGCAAAUGUAAAAAAUAAAAUUGAAAUGCAAA